GACUGGAGAGGUGGGGAGGGCGGACGCCUGGCGAUGUGGCCCGCGCUGUGAUCAGGGCGCCCUCUCCCAUCGCCUCCCAGGUUUCUCCGCGGCCAAAGGCAGGCCCUGGGCUAGAACAGCAGCUGACAGACAGCAGAGCCGAGCUGGCGCAGGGGGAGGGGAUGGAAAGCGUGGUGCCCGGGCCCACCUGGGGAGGCAGCGCAUUCAGAGCCCAGUGCGUGCAGCCUGGCAGGCCUGCGGGAGGCGCGCCUGGGCCUGCAGCGCGGUGCCCAGGCCAGGGUGGAUCCCGCCUGCGUCACAGCUCUGCAAAGGGCAUGGCCCUCCCAGCCAUGUCCGCAUCGCCGCCCGUCCUCCCUCGUGAUCUGGACGGACCCUGGGGUCCCUGGGAUGCAGGGGCCACCCUCCCGGCUCCAGGUUCCAACGACAGUCAGGAGACGCUCUAUUGGCCGCGUGUUCCUACCCUCGCAGGCCCCCGUUCAGUUGGUGAGCUCCGUGCCUGUGACCAGGUUGCAGGCAUGAAGCACCUGCGUUUCUCAGACCUUGUACGUGCUCCCCUCAUGGAGCAGGUGAGCAGGAGGUGGUGCCAUGCCUCAUGCAUCCGGCCCGUAUCCGAGGUCUCCUAACUCGACACUUAACGAAGCAGACCCCACUGGUUGAGUCUAUUCUUUGUAGAAUUCUUCAGCAAAGCUGCCCACACAAGUCAAAAUUCAGGAGAGUCCACGGGGAGAGUUAAAUGCUCUGAAUUCCAGGCCUGUCCUACGCACGUAUUUGCCUCUGUAACCUUCACCUACGACCAGUUCCCAGUACCAUGGAUUUCCUACGUCAGUGCAGCGUGUCAAACCGUUACAGACGCCAAAGCUCACUGAGCUCGCAACCCAUGUGCCCAGACCACCUGCCACAGGGGCCGUCUCACUGACGGAGGCGAUGUUCGUGCUGCCGCCCAGGAGCCAGCGCUUCGAGACCGCAGAUUUAAGUCGUGCUGCCUGAUGUCCGACCUCAAUUACAGCUGUCAUUGGGCUAAAUACACCCAAGAAAAUACCCUCUAAUGAGGAAGCUGCAUAGCCUUGGGCCUGUCGCCGCCCCUCCGGUGCCUCAGUCUCUCCAUCUGCGGGGUGAAGGCAGCAGCUCUCCUUGCGGAAGUUGAGGCGUCACACCUGUGUCGGGAGCCCCGUGAAAGGCUGUGUAAACGUCCAGGCCCCCAUUUCUCCGGUCCCCGCACUGAACCAAGGCUCGGGGUCCCUGGGCAGGAUCCCCCGUGGCCUUGCACUCCGAGAAGGAGCGUCUAAAGGUGGAGCAGGGAGCAGCUUUGACCAGAGAGAGACCUGGAGGAGAGGGUCCCACACCUGCGGGGAGAAAUCACGGCGGGCAGGUAGGAAGCGGCGUGCUCUGCAGGAAGAAAUGAAAGAAACCAGGCGGCACUGAAAGCCGCGCUGAUUGUUGGAGCGAUGAGCGGCGCAACGUCAAUGUCAGGGGGUGUUGGAUCCUCACGUCCCCACAGGGAACCGGGGGAAGGUUCUGGCUGUGGGGGUGGCUGGCCAGCUCCUUGGUGCAGGUCUCCGAGGGGCUAUGGCCCGGCUGCUGGACCCAGGGGUGGGCUGCUAGGGAACGAGGGUGCAGCCAUCCUGUGUGCGAAAUGCUAGAGUCCAGCCCGCGUGGCUCAGUGGUUGAGUGUUGACCUAUGAACCAGGAGGCCACGGUUC